AAGCCAGCUAAUGAAUCUGCUUACCUGAAUGUGUUUCAACAGGAAUUUAGACAAAGAUGGUGAUAGUAAAGCCUUGUUACUGUAAACUUUAAGACAUUGCACUCAUUAAGGCGCCUGAAAAUGGCUAUAAGA